UACAGAGGGUGCGAGCGUUAAUCGGAAUUACUGGGCGUAAAGCGCACGUAGUCGGCUUUGCAAGUCGGGUGUGAAAUCCCCGGGCUCAACAUGGGAACUGCAUCCGAGACUGCAUUGCUAGAGUAUGGGAGAGGGAAGCGGAAUUUCUGGUGUAGCAGUGAAAUGCGUAGAUAUCAGAAGGAACAUCAGUGGCGAAGGCGGCUUCCUGGACCAAUACUGACGAUCAGGUGCGAAAGCGUGGGGAGCAAACGGG
rnacentral:rRNA from 1 species